rnacentral:rRNA from 1 species
UACGAAGGGGGCUAGCGUUGUUCGGAAUUACUGGGCGUAAAGCGCACGUAGGCGGAUCGAUCAGUCAGGGGUGAAAUCCCAGAGCUCAACUCUGGAACUGCCUUUGAUACUGUCGAUCUAGAGUAUGGAAGAGGUGAGUGGAAUUCCGAGUGUAGAGGUGAAAUUCGUAGAUAUCGAUAGGAACACUCGUGGCGAAGGCGAGUCACUGGACAACAUCUGACGCUGAGGCUCGAAGGCUAGGGGAGCAAAAGGG